UACGGAGGAUCCAAGCGUUAUCCGGAUUUAUUGGGUUUAAAGGGUGCGUAGGCGGCUUUUUAAGUCAGGGGUGAAAGACGGUAGCUCAACUAUCGCAGUGCCCUUGAUACUGAAGAGCUUGAAUGUACUUGAGGUAGGCGGAAUGUGACAAGUAGCGGUGAAAUGCAUAGAUAUGUCACAGAACACCAAUUGCGAAGGCAGCUUACUAAAGUAUGAUUGACGCUGAGGUACGAAAGCGUGGGGAGCGAACAGG
rnacentral:rRNA from 1 species